rnacentral:rRNA from 1 species
GAUGAACGCUAGCUACAGGCUUAACACAUGCAAGUCGAGGGGAAACGGCAUUAAGUGCUUGCACUUUUUGGACGUCGACCGGCGCACGGGUGAGUAACGCGUAUCCAACCUUCCCAUGACUAAGGGAUAACCUGCCGAAAGGCAGACUAAUACCUUAUGGUCUUCACUGACGGCAUCAGAUGUGAAGUAAAGAUUUAUCGGUUAUGGAUGGGGAUGCGUCUGAUUAGCUUGUUGGCGGGGUAACGGCCCACCAAGGCAACGAUCAGUAGGGGUUCUGAGAGGAGGGUCCCCGACAUUGGAACUGGGACCCGGUCCAAACGCCUACGGGAGGCAGCGGUGAGGAAGAUUUGUCAAUGGGCGAGAGCCUGAACCAGCCAAGUAGCGGGCAGGAUGACGGCCCUAUGGGUUGUAAACUGCUUUUGUAUGGGGAUAAGGUCAAUAACGUGUGAUUGUUGCAGGUACCAUACGAAUAAGGACCGGCUAAUUCCGUG